CUACGGGACGCUGCAGUAGGGAAUAUUGCACAAUGGACGAAAGUCUGAUGCAGCAACGCCGCGUGUGCGAUGAAGGCCUUCGGGUCGUAAAGCACUUUUUGAGAGGAUGAGAAAGGACAGUACUCCCAGAAUAAGUCUCGGCUAACUACGUGCCAGCAGCCGCGGUAACAGCGUAGGAGGCAAGCGUUAUCCGGAUUUACUGGGCGUAAAGCGCGUGCAGGUGGUUUGGUAAGUUGGAUGUGAAAUCUCCCGGCUCAACUGGGUGAGGUCGUUCAAAACUGCUAGGCUAGAGGACGGUAGAGGAAGGCGGAAUUCCCGGUGUAGUGGUGAAAUGCGUAGAUGUCGGGAGGAACACCAGUGGCGAAAGCGGCCUUCUAGCCCGUGCCUGACACUAAGACGCGAAAGCUAGGGUAGCAAACGGGAUUAGAUACCCCAGUAGUC
rnacentral:rRNA from 1 species